UAUAGGGAGACCUAUUUAUGUCUAGACUGAACCAAUACAGAAUUAGGUCAGGCAUAAGUCAUCCCAAGGUCGAACGAAGUUUAUUGGAAAGCUUUCAAACUAAGUCAGGUUCUAAAUUUGGCUAAAAACAAACGGGCCAUUAGCUCAGUUGGUUAGAGCGCACCCCUGAUAAGGGUGAGGUCACUGGUUCGUGUCCAGUAUGGCCCACUUGAGAAGCUAAAAGCUAGAGGCUAAAAGCCAAAAGCAAUAGUUAACUCUGGGGAUAUAGCUCAGUUGGUAGAGCGCCUGCUUUGCACGCAGGAAGUCAGGAGUUCGAAUCUCCUUAUCUCCACCAAACUACUAAAACCAACAAAAGCAAAAGCAAGAGUUUAGCAACUUAUCUAGUUAGGUAAAACCUAAAAACUAGAGAGACUGCUAAAUUCUAGCGAAAGCAAGAAUUUAGAAAGAACCUUGAAAACUGCAUAGUAAUAGUAAUAAGAAGCAAGUAGAUCCAAAGUGGAAACACAGA
rnacentral:tRNA from 1 species